GAUGAACGCUGGCGGCGUGCCUAAUACAUGCAAGUCGAGCGAACAGACGAGGAGCUUGCUCCUCUGACGUUAGCGGCGGACGGGUGAGUAACACGUGGAUAACCUACCUAUCAGACUGGGAUAACUUCGGGAAACCGGAGCUAAUACCGGAUAAUAUAUUGAACCGCAUGGUUCAAUAGUGAAAGACGGUUUUGCUGUCACUUAUAGAUGGAUCCGCGCCGCAUUAGCUAGUUGGUAAGGUAACGGCUUACCAAGGCGACGAUGCGUAGCCGACCUGAGAGGGUGAUCGGCCACACGGGAACUGAGACACGGUCCAGACUCCUACGGGAGGCAGCAGUAGCGAAUCGUCCGCAAUGGGCGAAAGCCUGACGGAGCAACGCCGCGUGAGUGAUGAAGGUCUUCGGAGCGUAAAACUCUGUUAUUAGGGAAGAACAAAUGUGUAAGUAACUAUGCACGUCUUGACGGUACCUAAUCAGAAAGCCACGGCUAACUACGUG
rnacentral:rRNA from 1 species